UAGAGGCAUUCGAUCCUUCUCGAAGAUGGGAGAACACAGUGGAACUGGCCAACUGCCGCUGUCGCUCACACGCCGCCGGCGCCGGCCGCUACCCCAAUUCCUCUUCGGCAGCAGCCCCACCACUCAUGCCACCUCCACCUCCUCCUUCCCCCUCCUGCCUGUUAUCUCUUCUUCCCCCUACCCUGUCUCCUUCGAUGCCGAUGUCGGCAUGUACGCCGCCGGCGCCGUCUGUCCCCGAGGUCGGCGACACCUCUUCUGUCUCCAUCUUUGAUGCAGAAGCCCCUCCGCCCGCCAUCUCCCCCUACCGCAUCUCAUCCGGCGCCGACAUCGGCAAGUACGUCACCGGCAUCGUCCGCCCCCUGAUUCAGCAAUGGCUCUCAUGCAGCAGCGCCGGCGCCCACCAGCUUCACCUCCUUCCCAUGGACGCGCUCCACGUCCGUCUAAUUCGAGUAUGAGCUGCUCCCCAGGACCUCUAUGCCGUUUGCAUCUGGAGCACUACCCACGAGCUCAACUGUCCCAAAUAAGCAAAAGGAAGACCACUCCAACUCCAUUACAAAAUUUACAAAGAAAUGGUCUACAAAAAAGUUCUCAGUGUGCAGUCCAAGGUCUCUUUGUCAUCGACGCCUCUCCUUUGUUUGGUAGCUCCAAAUCCAAAUUUCAGGUCAGACCCCAAAUAGUUAUUUCCUUGUUGUGUGUGAUCGACAUCUUUUUCUGGCAGAAACCUGGUUGAUGUUAGAAAGUUACAAGAGGUCCAGUACAAUUUUUAUGUGCGUGUAUGUACAUUCUGUUUCUUUGCUUGGUACAAAAUAUAUUGCAAGGGAUGUUCUUUUUUGCUUCGUUUAAAUAUACUACAUACCCUCUACAGACUCAGCUUAUUUUCCUUUUUCUGAAUAUAACACAGACGAUUUGUAUGCAGUAGUUGUUGGAAUUCAGUAAUGUUCAAGCUUGUUCCAGUGUUAGUUUUCUUCAGGCUUUCAGUGUUCCUUUUUCUGAAGAAAGUUACAAAGGAACUUCUUGUAAAUUUUGGUUGUUAUUCGUUGAGAUUGUAUCCUCUGUUUUUGUUGGCUAGCUGGACAGGUAUAUCUUCUGCGAUUGUUCUGAUGGGAUGCCUCUCAACAUGAUCCUCUAUUCAUUUUUUGUUAUGGCUUUGGUUGUUUGAAUCGCUUUGCUUUCAGCUGUACGUGCUACAUAAGGACUCAAAUAUGUCCUAAUAUUUUGGCCAACGAAUUGAGCUUGAUAGCUUUGAAACUUGCUGGCCAAGAGAUAAGAUCUUCUUGUUAAGUGUUAAGGAUGAGUCUAUAUACAAAGCCAUGUAUGGUAGGUCCUCUGCAUCAAUCUCAUCUGGUGUUCCUCCACAUACAUCUGAACCUUGGCAUAGAGAGAGCUACGUUGGUGAGAACCUGCCGGUUCAUCUCCUCUUGAGUGCACAACAGGAGAUAUGAGAUCAUUGUAUCUUGGAUGAGAGCCGCUGUUUAACUCGUGAACCACGGCGAGGGCGUGAAUCUCCUUGAAGAUAGCGCCUACCAGUGUGCAUUGAUCCAGUCGAGCUGCUGCACCACGAUCUGCUGCGACCACAUCUUCACCAGCAUACGACAUCGUCGACGCCAACAAUAGUGGUUGUCUAAUGUCUUUUUAGGUGAGCAGAUAAAUGAAGAGAAAACCCCAUAAGUAAUAUUGUUGGCAUAUAUGUUUGAGCAAGAAGGGUAACAAAUGAUUCUAUGGCCUGAUCCUGAUAGAUGACUAAUGUAUAUAACUAAUUAAGUGGAACUAGCUGUGUGAGUUA